CCUACGGGUGGCAGCAGUGAGGAAUAUUGGUCAAUGGCCGAGAGGCUGAACCAGCCAAGUCGCGUGAGGGAAGACGGCCCUACGGGUUGUAAACCUCUUUUGUCGGGGAGCAAAGCGAACCACGAGUGGUUCAUUGAGAGUACCCGAAGAAAAAGCAUCGGCUAAAUACGUGCCAGCAGCCGCGGUAAUACGGAGGAUGCGAGCGUUAUCCGGAUUUAUUGGGUUUAAAGGGUGCGACGGCGGAGGUGCAAGUCAGCGGUCAAAUUGCGGGGCUCAACCCCGUACUGCCGUUGAAACUGCAUCCCUUGAGUGCGCGAGAAGUAUGCGGAAUGCGUGGUGUAGCGGGGAAAUGCAUAGAUAUCACGCAGAACUCCGAUUGCGAGGGCAGCAUACCGGCGCGCAACUGACGCUCAUGCACGAAAGCGUGGGUAUCGAACAGGAUUAGAUACCCCAGUAGUC
rnacentral:rRNA from 1 species